CUAGCGACUUCAGAGUUUGAUCCUGGCUCAGGAUGAACGCUGGCGGCGUGCUUAACACAUGCAAAUCGAACGAAGCACCUUGAUUUCUUCGGAUUGAUUGGUGACUGAGUGGCGGACGGGUGAGUAACGCGUGGGUAACCUGCCUCACACAGGGGGAUAACAGUUAGAAAUGACUGCUAAUACCGCAUAAGACCACAGUACCGCAUGGUACAGUGAUAAAAACUCCGGUGGUGUGAGAUGGACCCGCGUCUGAUUAGCUAGUUGGUGAGGUAACGGCUCACCAAGGCGACGAUCAGUAGCCGACCUGAGAGGGUGACCGGCCACAUUGGGACUGAGACACGGCCCAA
rnacentral:rRNA from 1 species